UCCCUAGUAGUCCAGUGGUUAGGAUUCCAUGCUUCCACUGCUGGGGGGCCUAGGUUCGAACCCAGCCAGGGAA
rnacentral:tRNA from 1 species